UUUCCAAAUCGAGAGCCGAGAUGAUAUUAAAAUCCAUAAAUCCAAAACAACCACUCUACCAACCAAACAAUCAAUGUUGCAGAUCUAUUGGCACAGUUUGUUUUGCUAUCUUACACACAAAGCAAUAAAUUUUGACUAAUGUCAACUAGAAAUUCUUUCCAACAUCUAUAAAUUAGAAAUUUGCAAAAGAUACUCUAGAUCACAUCAGGAAUAUUUCAACUAUCCCCACACCAUAUAAA
rnacentral:lncRNA from 1 species